GUGCUCACUUCGGCAGCAUAUACACUAAAAUUAGAACAAUACAGAAAAGAUUAGUAAGUUCCCUGUGCAAGGAUGUCAUACAAAUUCGUGAAGCAUUCCAUUAAAAA